GAUGAACGCUGGCGGCGUGCCUAAUACAUGCAAGUCGAGCGAACAGACGAGGAGCUUGCUCCUCUGACGUUAGCGGCGGACGGGUGAGUAACACGUGGAUAACCUACCUAUAAGACUGGGAUAACUUCGGGAAACCGGAGCUAAUACCGGAUAAUAUAUUGAACCGCAUGGUUCAAUAGUGAAAGACGGUUUUGCUGUCACUUAUAGAUGGAUCCGCGCCGCAUUAGCUAGUUGGUAAGGUAACGGCUUACCAAGGCGACGAUGCGUAGCCGACCUGAGAGGGUGAGAGGCCACACUGGAACGGAGACACGGUCCAGACUCCUACGGGAGGCAGCAGUAGGGAAUGUUCCGAAAUGGGCGAAAGCCUGACGGAGCAACGCCGCGUGAGUGAUGAAGGUCUUCGGAUCGUAAAAAUCUGUUAUUAGGGAAGAACAAAUGUGGAAGUAACUAUGCACGGCUUGACGGUACCUAAUCAGAAAGCCACGGCUAACUACGUG
rnacentral:rRNA from 1 species